GCUACCGUUUCGGCCACCAGCCGCCCGAAUGGGCCAGGGAAUCCGGUGCGAAUCCGGGACUGACGCGCAGCGGUGAGGCAGACGGUCGAGACACGACGUCACUGGGGUCACACGACUCUGGGAAGGCGUCUCGCGCCGGAUGAAGCCGAGUCCGAAGACCUGCUGGUGACCGCCUGUAACA
rnacentral:ncRNA from 2 species